rnacentral:lncRNA from 1 species
GUGUUCGGUGUGCAUGCGAAGUAAAGGAUCUACACUUUCAAGCCUCCGUGAAGGAUUAUUUUAGAUUUUUAGAGAUUUGAUCUCUAAUUUUGCUGCUAAUCAGGUAAGGAUUUGAUCUUUAUUCAUGUAGAUUAAUAAAAAAAAUUUAGAUGCAAUCUGAACUAUCCAAAGAGAAAUAGUUUCCCUUCCCUUUAUAUAGUUGAGAAGUUGACUUUAAGUAGAUAUGACAUCUCAUAAAAUGUCAUACCUCAAAUCUAGAACAUAACACGGUUAUGCUACUAAGGGAUACGACCUAUAAUAAUAUGAAGCCAAUCAAUUAUAAUCAGCUAAAAUCUUUCAUAAAUAAAAUAUAAUAAAAGAUUCAAUUAUAUUAUUCAUCAAACAAAUAAAUCAAGAUUGAUCCAGAGCAUCUAAAUCAAUAAUCAAA